AUACGGAGGGUGCAAGCGUUAAUCGGAAUUACUGGGCGUAAAGGGCGCGUAGGCGGUCUAUCAAGUCAGGUGUGAAAUCCCACGGCUCAACCGUGGAGGUGCAUCUGAAACUGAUAGACUUGAGUAUGGGAGAGGAAAGUGGAAUUCCCGGUGUAGAGGUGAAAUUCGUAGAGAUCGGGAGGAACACCAGUGGCGAAGGCGACUUUCUGGACCAAUACUGACGCUGAGGCGCGAAAGCGUGGGGAGCAAACAGGAUUAGAAACCCUAGUAGUCC
rnacentral:rRNA from 1 species